AUACGGAGGGUGCAAGCGUUAUUCGGAAUCACUGGGCGUAAAGGACGCGUAGGCGGGUUGGCAAGUCAGAUGUGAAAUCCUACAGCUUAACUGUAGAACUGCAUUUGAAACUGCUAACCUAGAGUAUGGGAGGGGGAGAUGGAAUUAGUGGUGUAGGGGUAAAAUCCGUAGAUAUUACUAGGAAUACCGAAAGCGAAGGCGAUCUCCUGGAACAUAACUGACGCUAAGGCGUGAAAGCGUGGGGAGCAAACAGAAUUAGAUACCCUAGUAGUCC
rnacentral:rRNA from 1 species